UACAGAGGUGGCAAGCGUUGUUCGGAAUUACUGGGCGUAAAGGGCGCGUAGGCGGCCUUCUAAGUCAGACGUGAAAUCCCCCGGCUUAACCUGGGAACUGCGUCUGAUACUGGAGGCUUGAGUAUGGGAGAGGGAUGUAGAAUUCCAGGUGUAGCGGUGAAAUGCGUAGAUAUCUGGAGGAACACCGGUGGCGAAGGCGGCAUCCUGGACCGGCAUUGACGCUGAGGCGCGAAAGCCAGGGGAGCAAACGGG
rnacentral:rRNA from 1 species